GAUGAAGAACGUAGCGAAAUGCGAUAAGUAAUGUGAAUUGCAGAAUUCAGUGAAUCAUCGAAUCUUUGAACGCACAUUGCGCCCGCCAGUAUUCUGGCGGGCAUGCCUGUUCGAGCAUCAUUUCAACCAUCAAGCCCCAGGCUUGUGUUGGGGACCUGCGGCUGCCGCAGGCCCUGAAAACCAGUGGCGGGCUCGCUGUCACACCGGGCGUAGUAGAUUUUAUCUCGCUCAGGGCGUGCUGCGGGUUCCGGCCGUUAAAAAGCCUUUUUUACCCAAGGUUGACCUCGGAUCAGGUAGGAAUACCCGCUGAACUUAAGCAUAUCAAUAAGCGGAGGA
rnacentral:misc_RNA from 1 species